rnacentral:rRNA from 1 species
GACGAACGCUGGCGGCGUGCCUAACACAUGCAAGUCGAACGGAAGUAAGUGCUUCGGUAUUUACUUUAGUGGCGAACGGGUGAGUAACGCGUAAAGAACUUGCCCUGCAGUCUGGGACAACAUUUGGAAACGAAUGCUAAUACCGGAUAUUAUGUGAGUUUCGCAUGAAAUUCAUAUGAAAGCUAUAUGCGCUGCAGGAGAGCUUUGCGUCCUAUUAGCUAGUUGGUGAGGUAACGGCUCACCAAGGCGAUGAUAGGUAGCCGGCCUGAGAGGGUGAACGGCCACAAGGGGACUGAGACACGGCCCUU